AGGGGCGUCGUUCAAUGGUAGGACACCGGUCUCCAAAACCGGUAACGUGGGUUCGAUUCCCCCCGCCCCUGCCA
rnacentral:tRNA from 1 species